rnacentral:lncRNA from 1 species
CAACAAGGGAAAACGUUUACGAACUUUCGCAAACACUAAAUAAAAUAUUUGUAAAAAACUCUGUUGCCAACAUUAGCUAACAGUUUGAAAAGGUUGUGUGUGGCAAAUGAACAUUUUGAAGAUGGAGUACAGUGGAAGCGCUAAUGGAUUUAAAUGGACCUACUCAUCUGUAAUGCUGCUAUCGAUACAUGGAGACAAAUUUGAGAGCCCUGUGUUCAAAAAGAGAGAGGCCUGGGAAAUUGUAGCUCAAAUGGUGCAAGAGAAAAGUUAUACUGUGACCUGGGAGACAUGCGAUGCGAAGUGGAGGAGUCUGAAGCACAGGUACAAGGCCAUCAUUGAUGGUCAUCAGAAGACUGGGCAGGGGAGAAGGAAGUGGGAGUUCUACUCCAUCAUGGAGGAGGUCGUCUCUGGUUAUCCCAGCAGUCAUUAAAUCAUAUUUUCCCACACACACAAAACUCAUACUGUCACCCACAACACCCCCAUCCCACACCAACCCCAACAUCAGUACACACACAACAUACAGCACACAAUACUAAUUACACUGUCACUCAACCCAGCACCUCCGCAGACACCCCACACACAGCACGCUACAGUAACACUGAUGCACUCUCAUCCUCUCCCUCUGCUACAGCACCUUAUAACUCUCAUGCCAACACCACUCCCCAUUCUCAACCCAAAAAGAAGACCAAAGGAGAUGCUCGAGGCAAAACUGGACAAUAUCAUCACACUUCAGAAACAGACAGUUCAAGCACAGAAUGAGAAGAACAAUAUUCUUAAACAGUUUACCGCUGCAAUCCAGAAUUUCAAAGAACAG